AUUGAACGCUGGCGGCAUGCCUUACACAUGCAAGUCGAACGGCAGCACGGGUGCUUGCACCUGGUGGCGAGUGGCGAACGGGUGAGUAAUACAUCGGAACGUACCUUAUCGUGGGGGAUAACGCAGCGAAAGCUGUGCUAAUACCGCAUACGCACUGAUGGGGAAAGCGGGGGAGCGCAAGACCCCGCGCGAUUAGCGCGGCCCAUGCCUGAUGAGCUAGUUGGUGGGGUAAAAGCCCCCCAAGGCGACGAUCAGUAGCUGGUCUGAGAGGACGAUCAGCCACACGGGGACUGAGACACGGCCCAGACUCCUACGGGAGGCAGCAGUGGGGAAUUUUGGACAAUGGGGGCAACCCUGAUCCAGCAAUGCCGCGUGAGUGAAGAAGGCCUUCGGGUUGUAAAGCUCUUUUGUCAGGGAAGAAACACCGGCUCUAACACAGUCCGGGAAUGACGGUACCUGAAGAAUAAGCACCGGCUAACUACGUGCCAGCCGCCGCCCGUAA
rnacentral:rRNA from 1 species